AUCCGAGCCUGUCUUGUCCCAGUCCGCCGCUGCUGGCUCAUACGAGCCUCUCUUCUCCCAGUCGGCCUCUGCUGGCUAAUCCCAGCCUGAAUUCUCACAGUCUGCCGCUGCUGGCUCAUCCCAGCCUGACUUCUCCCAGUCCGCCGCUGCUGGCUCAUCCCAGCCUGACUUCUCCCAGUCUGCCACUGCUCAUCCCAGCCAACUACAUCCACAGUCCAGUAGGCACAAGGUUCCACCUCUCAGGACCCUGAGGAGCUUUUGGCUGUGGAUGAGAAAAACAUUACAGGAAUGGACCGGGUGGACAGACUGGCUGAGUAUUUGGUAGAGCUGAGGACAAGUACAGGGUUAACCCUCAGCAGACAGCAGGUUGAUGACAUCGUGUGCCUGUGGCAGAGCCUGCUUGACUAUGACAAGCAACGGGUGAAGUUUGCUGCUAGACACCAGGACAGGCUG